rnacentral:rRNA from 1 species
UUCGGGUUUUAGUGGCGAACGGGUGAGUAACACGUAAGCAACCUACCCUAAAGACGAGGAUAACCAUUGGAAACAGUGGCUAAGACUGGAUAGGAAGAAAUAAGGCAUCUUUUUUCUUUUAAAAGACCUAGUGAUAGGUAUACUUUAGGAGGGGCUUGCGCCAUAUUAGUUAGUUGGUAGGGUAAUGGCCUACCAAGACGAUGAUGUGUAGCUGGACUGAGAGGUUGAACAGCCACAUUGGGACUGAGACACGGCCCAAACUCCUACGGGAGGCAGCAGUAGGGAAUUUUCGGCAAUGGAGGAAACUCUGACCGAGCAACGCCGCGUGAACGACGAAGUACUUUGGUAUGUAAAGUUCUUUUAUCAAGGAAGAAAAGCAAGUGGUGAACCAUUUGUUUGCCGGUACUUGAUGAAUAAGCCCCGGCUAAUUAUGUGCCAGCAGCCGCGGUAAGACAUAAGGGGCAAGUGUUAUCCGGAAUUAUUGGGCGUAAAGGGUGCGUAGGCGGUCUAGUAAGUCAGUGGUGUAAUGGCAACGCUCAACGUUGUCCGGCUAUUGAAACUGCUAAACUUGAGUUAGAUAGAGGCGAGUGGAAUUCCAUGUGUAGCGGUAAAAUGCGUAAAUAUAUGGAGGAACACCAGAGGCGUAGGCGGCUCGCUGGGUCUUAACUGACGCUGAGGCACGAAAGCGUGGGGAGCAAACAGGAUUAGAUACCCUGGUAGUCCACGCCGUAAACGAUGAGUACUAAGUGUCGGGUUAAACCGGUACUGAAGUUAACACAUUAAGUACUCCGCCUGAGUAGUACGUACGCAAGUAUGAAACUUAAAGGAAUUGACGGGACUCCGCACAAGCGGUGGAUCAUGUUGUUUAAUUCGAAGAUACCCGAAAAACCUUACCAGGUCUUGACAUGUUUUUGCGAAACGGUAGUAAUAUCGUGGAGGUUAUCAGAAACACAGGUGGUGCAUGGUUGUCGUCAGCUCGUGUCGUGAGAUGUUAGGUUAAGUCCUAAAACGAGCGAAACCCUUAUCGUUAGUUGCCAGCACGUUAUGGUGGGGACUUUAACGAGACUGCCAGUGAUAAAUUGGAGGAAGGUGAGGAUCACGUCAAAUCAGCAUGCCCCUUAUGACCUGGGCUACAAACGUGAUACAAUGGCUGUUACAAAGGGUAGCUGAAACGCAAGUUCUUGGCCAAUCCCCAAAAACAGUCUCAGUCCGGAUUGAAGUCUGCAACUCGACUUCAUGAAGUUGGAAUCGCUAGUAAUCGCGAAUCAGCAUGUCGCGGUGAAUACGUUCUCGGGGUUUGUACACACCGCCCGUCAAACCACGAAAGUUGGCAAUACCCCAAAACGGUAGCCUAACUCGUUUAUCGAGAGGGCGCUGUCUAAGGUAGGGUCGAUGAUUGGGGUUAAGUCGUAACAAGGUAUCCCUACCGGAAGGUGGGGAUG